rnacentral:rRNA from 1 species
UGAGCAAUCUGCCCUUCACAUCGGAAUAACCAUUGGAAACGAUGGCUAAUACCGAAUAUGACUUCGGAUCGCAUGAUCUGAAGUGGAAAGCUACGGCGGUGAAGGAUGAGCUCGCGGCCUAUCAGCUUGUUGGUGAGGUAAUAGCUCACCAAGGCGAUGACGGGUAGCCGGCCUGAGAGGGUGACCGGCCACACUGGGACUGAGACACGGNUCAG